GUCCAAGUGCGCGCGGCGCGAGGCCCUUCACACACGUCACCCAACCAAGUGCUAUUACUGUACCAAGCUCGGAAGAGAAGAGGAAAAAAUCUCAUCGGCUCCUCCCCUCUUCUCCGCGCGUCCUUUCGUCUUGUGUGAGCUCCGGGGCAUAAACCCCAGCGCGGCGGCGGCGGCGGCAAUGGUCUCUACAGCCUGCCUUCGGCUCCCCUUCCUCCCCACCCGAUCCCGCUCCGCCAACCCGGCCUCAACCUCCUCGCCCCCCCGCCGCCUAUCCCUCAAAUGCAGCGCCAGCGCCAACUCCGUCUCCAUCUCUCCCGCCUCGCUGCCGCGGGCAGCGGUGGCAGACGGCGUCGAGUCCGUGGACGUUAACGGACUGCGCCGCCCGCCUGCGCCUGUCUCCGUCUCCACCGUCCCCGCCGCCCGCGAUCCCCACUGGCUGCCUCGGCCGCUCACUAGUGCGGACGUGAUGGAGGCGAGCGGGGUGGGGCUUAAGGUUGCUUACCAGGGUUGCCCUGGAGCAUACAGCGAGGCGGCAGCAAAGAAGGCGUACCCGAACUGCCAGACUGUACCCUGUGAGCACUUCGAUACUGCAUUUCAGGCUGUUCAAGACAAGCUUGCUGAUAGGGCAGUACUGCCACUUGAGAAUUCAUUGGGAGGUAGCAUACAUCGGAACUAUGACCUUUUGCUUCGGCAUAAGUUGCACAUUGUUGGAGAGGUUCGCCUUGCAGUUCGUCAUUGCUUGUUAGCCAAUCCUGGCGUGAAGAUUGAAGACCUGACAAGUGCCAUGAGUCAUCCCCAGGCUCUUGCACAAUGUGAGGGCACGUUGACAGAGUUAGGAAUUGAACACAGAGAAGCUGUUGAUGACACUGCUGGUGCAGCAAAGUUUGUUGCAGAACAAAUGCUCCAAGACACUGGUGCUAUUGCUAGUUCAUUGGCUGCUGAACUGUAUGAACUGGAGAUUCUUGCUGAAAAUAUUCAGGAUGACAAAGAUAAUGUCACUCGUUUUAUGAUGCUGGCUCGAGAACCUAUCAUAUCUCGCACUGAUAAACCAUUCAAGACUAGCAUAGUCUUUUCACUUGAAGAAGGACCUGGAGAGCUCUUUAAGGCACUUGCUGUAUUCGCACUGAGGGAAAUCAACCUCGCAAAGAUUGAAAGUCGUCCACACAAGAAAAGACCUCUUCGUGUAGCUGAUGACUGUUCCUCACCCUUAAAGCACUUCGAUUACCUCUUUUAUGUCGACCUUGAGGCAUCGACAGCUGAUCCAAAGACUCAGAAUGCUCUUGGAAAUUUAAAGGAGUUUGCAACCUUUUUACAAGUCCUGGGAAGCUAUCCUACAGAUGUGAGCGAACUAUAAAUAGCAAGUACUUCUGCAGAUCACAUGCUAGGAUGGCAUAUAAAUGCGGGAAAUCAGAUACUCGCAGUUGUAAAAUUGCAUGUUUAGAGAAUAGCCACAAUCCACUACAAAAUAGCUGAGCACUAUUCAAAUCCGAAGUUUGAUUAUACCACGGGAGUUGGGUCCAGGGGAGCCAGGCAUACUGUUUCCUCCAGCAAGGGACAUGCCCACCAGCCAUUCGACAGUUGGCCUGAACUGAGGUCACAAGGAGAUCGUGGUGAGAGGUGGUGGCAUUACCUUGCUGUAGCAGGCACCUGCUGUGCACUCUGCCCCCCAGGUGCUCACUGAAAUGCCACACCAAGGGAGCUCACAUGAGAUGUUCGACGAAAUGCCUCUUGAGGACGACACAACAGAACAAGCUGAGCAGGUCAGGUUCGAGGUUCUGGUGGCGUCGAUGGGUGAUGCACAGGAGAUGAGGACAUGCCAUCCAGCCUCGACUCGCGUGUCUGUUUAUUGCAGCAAGUAACCCAGUAUGGAGAGUACUUGGUUGGUGAGGAGAGCAAGCCAACUGCCGAGCUAGAUGUAGAUCAAUUGUUGUUUCCAUGGACGAUACCUUCUUGGCAAGAAAUACUACUUCAAGUGGGAAUUAUUGAGAUAAGGAAGGAUGUGCUGGGGCAAGCUGGUAGAACAAGCCACUAUGUGGCCAUAACUUGUGGGUCUCACUACUUUUGCAGCCAGCGACAUUAUACAUUGGCAGGUUAAUGACACAUGAGGUGCAGGCCAAUCAGGCUGAACACCUUGUUCAUGGGUCCUUAUUGCUUGAUGGUGAACAAAUGUCUCAGUCUUUCACUUGCUUGGUCCCAGAGUCAGUCACAGAGUUCUAUGUGCAAUGGGAUCCAAGAAUUCUUUGCGUGCUGUUUUUGAGAUUACAACAUCAACAUGGAUACAACUUCAAGUUCAAUCAAGAUUGAACAGAGUUCAAAAAAAAAAAAAAAACUUGUACUGCCUGUUUUGCAAAUGUUAUCUCCUGCAACUAUGAGUAAGAUCUUGGCUCAUUUGAGGUUGAGCUUCAGCGCUAGCUCUAAUGUUGUCAUCAAUGGGCAGCGAGAGAUGGUUACGGCACUUAGCUUUCGUUCGGAACUGGAGUUGCACAAAUUCUUCAGAAAAGAUGGCAAGAAGAGAUUGAGCAAAUAGGAGUAGACUCUGCAGGUAAUGCUAUUGCUUGGGGACAAGUAGCAUUUCGUGGGGGUGGAAGUGUAACACAUGGCCCAUAUCAACUGGGUCAUGCAAUGGGCCGUUAUGCUAAAAGGCUAAGCCCACGGCCCAAGCUAGAGCAUCAACAGCUCUACAAAUGAGAGGCCAGGAGCAUCGAGGAGGGGCGACAAAAUGAAUUGAAUCUGAGUUCCUCUUCUUCCUCUCGAGGUUUCCUUGAUGAUUCCAUCUCACGUCACGGCAAUCUUGCCGGUGGCCAUGGGAAUUGUAUCCGGAUUAGCAGGAAUGGGUGGAAUAUGGGCAAUUGGUUUCAGAGCCAUUUGAAAAGCCAGAAUUAACUAUGAGGCUGAUGCUAAUUUUUACAGAGCAAAAAGGCAUAUCUACAUUAGUACAUUAGGGAAGAUGCAUGUGAUUCAUGCAUUUGGUUAUAAUGUUGAGAAGAAAAUCACAUCUUUUGCUGGCGAUGCUCUUCUAAGCAAGAUAUUUUGAAAGAGCAGUCUUCUUUUAUCUCCAGUUAUGCAAGGAGGAAUCUGAAAGGACAGUUGCUAAUUUUAUGCAGGAGCUUGUUAAAACACCUAUAGAGAUCAAAGGGUGGAAUAUUUGGUUGGUAAAAAACAGUUAUAGAAUAAUCCUGUUAUUAGGGAUUGGUUCCUUCCAUCGUCCCGCCACCUAGAAGAUUUUUAUUUUUUCAUAGAACUAUUCGUCCUUUUUUGUUUGUGAAACGAAACGAAAGAUGAACUGUUCGGCAA